UACGUGGGGUGCAAGCGUUGUCCGGAAUUAUUGGGCGUAAAGAGCUCGUAGGCGGUUUGUCGCGUCUGCUGUGAAAUCCCAGGGCUUAACCCUGGGCCUGCAGUGGGUACGGGCAAACUAGAGUGCGGUAGGGGAGAUCGGAAUUCCUGGUGUAGCGGUGAAAUGCGCAGAUAUCAGGAGGAACACCGAUGGCGAAGGCAGCCCCCUGGGCUAACACUGACGCUCAGGCACGAAAGCGUGGGGAGCAAACAGG
rnacentral:rRNA from 1 species